rnacentral:rRNA from 1 species
ACUACCCCACGAGUGAGGAAUACCGGCGAGAAAUCGCCGACAAGACCGCAUGAGCUCUUCAUCGUGAUGGGUGAAGAGGAAAGCUUUUCUUUCGCAAGAGAGGGAGGCGCUCGGGGAUGGGCCUGUGGCCGAUUAGCUAGUUGGUGGGGAAGAGCCUACCAAGGCGACGAUCGGUAGCUGGUCUGAGAGGACGAUCAGCCACACUGGGAUUGAGAACGGCCCAG